GAAAUGCGAUACGUAAUGCGAAUUGCAGAAUUCCGUGAAUCAUCGAAUCCUCGAACGCACAUUGCACUUUCAAGUUUUCUUGGAAGUAUACCUGUUUGAGUAUCAGUGUUCUCUCUCAAACCAUGUUUUUUCUAACAGUUAAAGACUGGUUUGGACUUGGACUUUUCACAACUGGCAACAGCUGCGAAGUCUUGAAUCUAGAAUCAUUAGGCUUUGACUACCAAACCUAAAGCUAGGUCCUUUGCUAUGGCAAUUCUCUUAAGCUUGAAAGGUUUGCAAAGCCUUAUGUCCUUCCGGGGUUGGGUGACCUUCAACUGGAAAAUCCAAAGUUCUUCUCUUCUAGAGAUUAACUUUGAGCCUUUGAUCUCAAAUCAGGUAAGAUGACCCGCUGAACUUAA
rnacentral:misc_RNA from 1 species